rnacentral:rRNA from 1 species
CAAUAGCGUAUAUUUAAGUUGUUGCAGUUAAAAAGCUCGUAGUCGGAUUUUGGCUGAGAACGAACGGUCCGCCGUUAGGUGUGCACUGUUUGGUCUCAGCUUCCUGGUGAGGAGGUGUGCUUCACGGCCACUUUGUCACCGUGGUUACUUUGAAAAAAUUAGAGUGUUCAAAGCGGGCUUACGCUUGAAUAUAUUAGCAUGGAAUAACACCAUAGGACUCCUGUCCUAUUUCGUUGGUCUCGGGACGGGAGUAAUGAUUAAGAGGAACAGUUGGGGGCAUUCGUAUUUCAUUGUCAGAGGUGAAAUUCUUGGAUUUAUGAAAGACGAACUUCUGCGAAAGCAUUUGCCAAGGAUGUUUUCAUUAA